ensembl:lncRNA
CUGCACAGUGCCAGUGUGCUGCACAGCAUUUGGGAGAUGUUGGGUCCUAUCUCCCACACAUGCAAAGGCAGCUCUCAGAAUCACACUAGCACAGAGCAUGGAAUAGAAUCAAAUCAUGGCAUGUUCCAUCCACCAACUCCUGCUAUUUAUUUUCAUCUGACAAGAAACAAAUCUGAGCCUGAAGGUUCCAGGAAGAUCCUGAGGCCAGGAUCCAGACUGAGAUCAGAACAUUCAGAAGUCACAGGUCAGGAUCUUGUUGUGAGCCAGGAUGUACAGAAGGAGACUCUCUACAUGGAUCCACCAGCUUUUCCAUUGGCCGAGGGAGCACCACGACCUACACCAGCCAGGGAAUGGAGCAGUCUCUGCCUCAAGGACCUAAUAAAGAAUGGGGGCACCUCAGAGGAGCUUGCUGGGCCUCACAUUGAGAUGGAAGUGAAAAUGACGAUAGCCACUGAGUUGAGUGCAGUGCAGAGCAGAUGAGAUUAUUUUAAACAGUCAUCCAGACAGUCGUGCCUCUAUACACCCAGUGGUGCCAAUAUACAACCAGUUUGCUUUUAUGUCCUGAGGAGCAGAGAGAGUCUAUAUAGGCUCAACGAAUCGUAGAAUCAUUGAGGUUGGAAAAGACCUCUAAGAUCACCAAGUCCAACUGUCAGCCCAUCCCCAUCAUGCCCACUGACCACAUCCACACGGCUCUGGAACACCUCCAGGGACAGUGACUCCACCACCUCCCUGGGCAGCCUGUGCCACUGCAGCACCGCUCUUUUGGAGAUGAAAUGUUUCCUAGUAUCCAACCUUAACUUCCCCUGGUGCAACUUUAGGACAUUAAGCAAAACCUUCCCUUAUUUUGGUUGAUAUUAGACUGAAAUCCGGUACCAAGAGCCCUGUGGUCAUUCAGAGACCCACUGUCUUCAAGCAGCUUGCAAAGGGGGAACCUGCUGGGCUAGGUUAUCCAGCCUGCUAUAAAAGGCAACCUGUCAGUGCACUCAGGUGAUGGAGGCUUAGGACAGGUGUUGCAUGCCUGGAUUAGCUCUGCAACAAGGAUGCCUGUUUCUCUGUACUACGAUGUUUCAUAUUCUAGAAGCUGGAGAGGCCACGGCUCAGUCAGCCAUGCACUCGUGCCCUUUCCGGAGACACAUUGGAGCUGGGCUUGGGGCCGUUCUGGCAGUGUUGGUGGCUUGAGUUAAGUCCGCCUAUUUAUUAAGGUGACAUUUGCCCAAACGCCCUCCAGAGCUCUGCCACCACUGCCUGUACGGAUAGCCUCUUAGCAUUUCUGCAUUUUUACUGUCUAAAGAAGAUUUUUGUUUGAGAAUGUCCCUGGUUUGUUUCAAGUGCCAGGAAUGUGAAAGGAACUGCUGCUGGAAGACUCAGCCAAAGGUCACCAAAGCAGCUCCCUGUGCUGAGAGUUUCCUGUAAGGGAGAGAGAUGAUUGUGUAGGUGCAACACAGGAGCAGUAAAAAAAGAACAGGAAGCAAUAAAAAAAAAAAAGAACAAGCACUGUACUCACACAAGCUCUAGCGUAAGACUUGUCUGCUAGGUAGAGGAGGGCACAGCAACAGUCAACCCCACGCCGAGGACACCGCAUCCAUACUGACCAUCAGCAGGCAGUGGCUGUUCUUCUGGAAGGAAGCAGUGAAGCUCAGAGCCAAAUAAAACGUGCCCAGGUUCACACAGAUGUACAGCCAGGACCAACAUGCAGCAUCAGAGAAGGCAACUGAAGAAGGUCUCUUCAUAAGGACCAUCAAGUCCGACUCUAGGCUCCAUACAGAACCACUCAGAAGUCGGACCUUAUGUCUGAGUACAUUGACCAGACCAGACGCUCCUUGAACUCCAGCAGCUCGGGGCCGUGCCACUGCCCUAGGCAGCCUGUUCCAUGCCCACCACCCUCUGGUGAAGAACCUCAUCCUAACCUCCAACCUGACCUUCCCCUGGCACAGCUCCAUGCUGUUCCCUCAGGCCCUGUCGCUGUCACGGAGAGCAAAGCUCAGCGUUUCCCAUCCUUUCCUCAAAUGGAGACCAAAAUAGAACAACUGGUCACGGGUAGCAGAGCGUGUGCUACAGAGGGCUCAAGCUCAUCAGUCUGUCUCCAUUUCAUGCAUUUUUCAUGCAUCACCUCUUACUUCUGAGCUAUUCAUUUUAUCUUUGUUUUCACCUGCAUCUAAUGAGCCUUUUCUGUGCUUUUGAUCAGAGAUGGUUCUGUGAAGACUUUUGUAAGGCUCUUCUCUCCCAUCCUCUUCAUCUUCCUCAACUCCUCCUUCUCUUCUGCCCUCCUUAGUUGUUCGUUUCCCAUCACAGGUAAAAAUCUUUGAGAGACAAUCAUCAGCCCUGCUAAGUGAGUCAGGAUAGUGAAUGGGAGGAAAUAAGGGCAUAUCCUGUGGUGCCAAAUAGCAGCAGCUAUAGAAAUGGCACCAAAAGCACCCUUUCUCUCUCUCUUCUGGAAGAACUGGGAUGGUGCCAUCCAGAGGAGAGCCCUGGGGGCUUGCUGAAUGAACCCUUCCUCCCAGCAUCGUACACCAGCAGAGAAAAGCAUGGGCUCACUGCCAGCUGUGCCAUUAUCUGCCUGAACACUGGGCCAGAAGCAGCUAGAGAGAUGGGUCUGAAUGGGGACUGAACAUCAUGAUUUCUCCCUACGCCUACUCUUUUCUGCAAGGCCAAUAUAGUCACUGUCAGGUGGAGAAAAACAGAUUGGUCCUGCUGCGUCAGCCCAUCGUAUCAGUCUCCAUCUCCAGCUGCAGCCAGCAUCGGGAGCUGCAGAAGGGACAGAUGGCUCCAGAUAGUGACACCUCUGCUCCACGAGUGUGCACUGCCCAAAUGCUGAUGCUGGCGAGUGCACCAAGCAGGCAGGCAUAGCCCCUGGUAGUCAUGGUGGUUCUUGCAGCCACAGCCUGCAAUGCUCUGAGACUGCAUUAGCCACAUGAAAAGUUCAACUUGGAUUUCUUCAUACAUGGGAGGAGUAGGAGGAACAAAUGCCUCUGGAGCAUAUUUCAUUGUAUGUCUGACUUUUACAUCAGUAAAUAGCUACAAGCUCUAAGAAAGGUUGAUGGUCUCUGAUUAACCAGAGAAAACUGCUGAGAUGGGGAACUUUUUCUCUUCUUGUGGCCAUAGCUUUAACACUCUGAUUCCCUUAUUCCCUUUUCAGCCCUGGAUGCAGAGAGGUGCUGCCAUCCCUGCUUCUCCAAUGGGCAAGUAUUGAGAAUUAACCUUACUUCUCCACAGGGUACCCCAGGAAGCCAUGGGAAAAGCAGGGAUACUUGAGCCCUAAGGAAAGCCUUGGCCUUUUGUUAACUGUUGAGCACGCUCAGAAAAAAAAAAAAAAAAAAAAAAAAAAAAAAAAAAAAGAAGGAAAAAAAAAAAGGCAAAAAAUACCCAACAGCAAAGCCACAGCAGUAUCUGUGAGCCUCUGAAGACUCAUAGUCAGCAAUUAUCUUUCGAAGGCUUUCUUUAAAAGUAACUUAUUACUAGCUAUCUGCUGAGAGACCAAAUAAUGCCAAGGUGCCUAGCCAAGAAUGUUCCCAUCCUAUUUUGAUGUGCUUAGAGGAAACGGAAUGGCUAGCUUAAAUGCUGGAGAAGACAACUGAGUGGGAGUCUGGGCUUAGUGAAGGCAGGUAGGCAAGAGUUUUGCAUUUGGUUUACAAAGAUCUUGAGUAGGCUGAGAUUCCAGACUGAUGAGAUGGUCUCUACAAUGACUACACUUCCCUUUUUCUUUUUCUUUUUUUUUUUUUUUCUUUUUCUUUUGGCAAAGAGCUCCGGUUCUUGCAAGCUACAGACAUGAAAGAGGAGCAUAUUCUCUGUAGCAGUAUAGGACUUGAAUUCUAUGCUAAUUUUGUCAGCAGCAGUUCUUCCUGUGGCAACGACACCAGCAUGCUGGUCACUUAGUUUGGAUCUCAGCUACACAGACUGCAGACCAGUCGCCAAAGAUGACACCUUUCAGUGAAGGUUUGUUCUGAACCAAUGACUUAAGAACGAAAAGCAUCAUAUCUUAUUUCUAUCUGAGCCGUAGAAAUGCUCAUCAACUUUGUACCAAAGAGAAAAGACUCGAGCUGACAAAAAGAGUCGUGGUGUUGUGGUCUUAAAAGAGCCGAGUUCAGAUCAUGACCCAUUAGCAGUUCACUGGCCCCUGGAAGAAGCCAGCACUGUUUUGGUGGUGCUGUGCCAAGCUGUGCUCUUCCUUCCCAAAUUUGAAGCUGUCUGUACAAGCAGGAAGCCAGGAGCUGCUGCUCCCCAAGGGAGAAUAACAGAAGGUAUUCCACCAAAACAGCACAAAUUCUUGUGGGGAUUCUUGGGAGGAAACAGAUGAUGAAGUUAAAGGAUUAUUUGCUUCAAAGAAGAGUAAAUUUGCUCAAAGAGGAAGUGAGAGAAAAUGUUGAGAGACUUGAACCUACGAGUAUAUUUGGAUUUGAGAGAUCAUACCUCCCUUCUGGUUUUGCCUUUUUUUUUUUUUUUGGUCAAAAUAUCUUGAAAAUCUCAGUGUUUUUCUUCCUUUUAUCCGAUUAGAAGUUGUGAGGAGGCAAUGCUAAAAUACUUCAUUUUAACUCUUUUUAAAUGAUAUUUUUUUCAUCUUUUC